rnacentral:rRNA from 1 species
GCGGCAACAGCUCAAAUUUGAAAUCUGGCUCCUUCGGGGUCCGAGUUGUAAUUUGCAGAGGAUGCGUCGGGUACGGGUCCCUACCGAGUUCCCUGGAACGGGACGCCAUAGAGGGUGAGAGCCCCGUCUGGUAGGAUACCCAGCCCAUGUGACGCUCCCUCGACGAGUCGAGUAGUUUGGGAAUGCUGCUCUAACGGGAGGUAUACUCCUUCCAAAGCUAAAUACCGGCUGGAGACCGAUAGCGCACAAGUAGAGUGAUCGAAAGAUGAAAAGCACUUUGAAAAGAGAGUCAAACAGCACGUGAAAUUGUUAAAAGGGAAGCACUCGCUACCAGACUUGGGUUUGGCGGUUCAACCGGGGCCACGCCCCGGGGCAUUCCGCCAGCUCAGGCCAGCAUCAGCUUUCCGUCGGGGGCAAAGACGUCGGGAAUGUGGCUCCCCUUCGGGGGAGUGUUAUAGCCCGGCGUGUCAUACCCUUCGGGGGGCUGAGGUACGCGCUUCUGCAAGGAUGCUGGCGUAAUGGUAGCUAGUGACCCGUCUUGAAACACGGACCAAGGAGUCAACCUUAUGUGCGAGUGCCCGGGCGUAAAACCCCAGCGCGGAAUGAAAGUGAACGUAGGUGAGAGCUUCGGCGCAUCACCGACCGAUCCUGAUGUCCUCGGACGGAUUUGAGUGAGAGCAUAUAGGGUUGGACCCGAAAGAAGAUGAACUAUGCGUGUGUAGGGUGAAGCCAGAGGAAACUCUGGUGGAGGCUCGCAGCGGUUCUGACGUGCAAAUCGAUCGUCAAACAUGCGCA